CGCUUUAAAGGGUCCGACUAAAACACGGCGACAUAUUUACGUAUCCGUUCCUACUUCCUGAAUUAAUCACCACGAGGGAAGACGUGUCAAUAUACUUCAUAUGUAUGGCGAACAUAUUGCACCUAUUUUACAAGACGUUUGGCAGACUGUACUACCUGGUGGUGGACAUGAUGGAGACCUGUACUCACCGUAUCUGCUGAUGCUUCUUGGGAAGCUGGCUGACGAAGGAAUGUUAAAGGACGACAUCUGUUUAGGCACCAAAGCCACCACACAGCGAUCGGUCACCUGCAAAGUCAAAGAUGAAGAAGAAUCCUCGGAGGGUUUGAGCGCCGCUGACAGUGACACGAGUGGAGCGACGGGGAUGAGAGGAGUGGAAGGCGAUUAGAGGAAGGGCUCAGAGAAAGACCACGCUCUGACGAACCUCCAGGGACUUCGUGUCAGGAAGUUGCAGUCAAAGAAAUCGCCGUCCUUCUCCGGUGAUCUUCACAUCCCUCUGAAAGACAAGAGGCGAGAUGUUUCUUUGUAAACUCCUUAAUAGUCCGACAUUGUUUCAAGUGCAGCUUAUCAGCACUUGCUUAAAGGAUCUGUUUGUUUUCCUUUUGAGUGCGCUUUGUCAGGCUCAUGAUGCAUCAAACAAAGAAGCAAUCAUGUGUUCCAAGUUUUCUCAUCCUAUUUACAAGAGACGGUUUCAUAUUCCUUGCCAUCAACAGGGGAGCUUAUUAUUUCUGCAUCCCUCUUAAAGAGCACUAACUCCCGCCUGUUAUUUGAACAAAGUAUUCACACAAUGUAGCUUGGGUUGCUUAUUAAAGCAAGGCUAUGUAUUCAUCAUGUGUCCAUGUUUGCGGCUACCUCCUCUAUUCCGCCACCCUGUCAUGUUCACUUAAAUGGCUGAAUCCUGGAGGAAUUAAUCACCCUCCGUUGCAGUCGACAUUCCCUAAAUUAAUCAGCCUCUUUCCAGGGAUGGCAGGGAGUCAUUAAAGAUUCUGAACCAGGCCGCAUCAACCCUCGCACUUCCCUUUUUAAUUUCAUUAGCAUAUUUUAUGUAGAUAUCUCCUGGGGGGCGGCAAACAAUGCCCCUCAAACACGGAACGAGCUUGGAUGAGUUGGACGCGUGGUAGUGAAUGAUGUGCUUACAUUUUCUUAUCAUAAAGAGGACGCAGGGAAUGAUUGGACCUGGCGCGCAUGCUGCGUCGCUUGCAAAAUGAAUUAAUUUGCUUUCAAACAGGUUCUCACUUCUAAACAAAGAUGGAUGUGGAGUGACGGCAAAGACGGGCAUUGGAGAUAAAGUGGGUUUGCAGUCACAGCUGCCACACCAAAGUCUAUUAAAGUGGUGAUAAAAGUGCCUUGACGGGGGACAGAUCAUAAAUUAGGAAACCAUACCAUCACCCUAAAUCUGCUCUGGGUGUCAUCAUGCAUCAACAGGCCCCUAAAGGUGGUGACCCCCCCCCCCCCCCACUUUUUUUUGCCAUUUAAGUCAUUCUUACUGAACCAUCACAGGAAAAUGUGAUGCUUGUGCGCUCACAAAAAAAAUCUACUUUUACGACCUUUGCCCUCCGAGACCUCCAGCAUCUUAGGCCUAGAGUCCUUUGAAACCAAUCAAGUUUCCGCUAGUACCGCUUGCAUCC